CCUACGGGUGGCAGCAGUGAGGAAUAUUGGUCAAUGGGCGCGAGCCUGAACCAGCCAAGUAGCGUGAAGGAUGACUGCCCUACGGGUUGUAAACUUCUUUUAUAAAGGAAUAAAGUGCGGCACGUGUGCCUUUUUGUAUGUACUUUAUGAAUAAGGAUCGGCUAACUCCGUGCCAGCAGCCGCGGUAAUACGGAGGAUCCGAGCGUUAUCCGGAUUUAUUGGGUUUAAAGGGAGCGUAGAGGGGUUGUUACGUCCGUUGUGAAAGUUUGCGGCUCAACCGUAAAAUUGCAAUUGAUACUGGCAGCCUUGUGUACAGUAGAGGUAGGCGGAAUUCGUGGUGUAGCGGUGAAAUGCUUAGAUAUCACGAAGAACUCCGAUUGCGAAGGCAGCUUACUAAACUGCCACUGACAUUGAUGCUCGAAAGUGUGGGUAUCAAACAGGAGUAGAUACCCUUGUAGUC
rnacentral:rRNA from 1 species